UACGUAGGGUGCGAGCGUUAAUCGGAAUUACUGGGCGUAAAGCGUGCGCAGGCGGCUUUGCAAGACAGAUGUGAAAUCCCCCGGGCUUAACCUGGGAACUGCAUUUGUGACUGCAUGGCUAGAGUGCGGCAGAGGGGGAUGGAAUUCCGCGUGUAGCAGUGAAAUGCGUAGAUAUGCGGAGGAACACCGAUGGCGAAGGCAAUCCCCUGGGCCUGCACUGACGCUCAUGCACGAAAGCGUGGGGAGCAAACAGG
rnacentral:rRNA from 1 species